rnacentral:rRNA from 1 species
GACGAACGCUGGCGGCGUGCUUAACACAUGCAAGUCGAACGGUAAAGCCCCAGCUUGCUGGAGUGGAUGAGUGGCGAACGGGUGAGUAACACGUGAGCAACCUGCCCCUGACUCUGGGAUAAGCGCUGGAAACGGCGUCUAAUACUGGAUACGAGAAGCGUCCGCAUGGGCACUUUCUGAAAAUUUUGUCGGUUGGGGAUGGGCUCGCGGCUUAUCAGCUUGUUGGUGAGGUAAUGGCUUACCAAGGCGACGACGGGUAGCCGGCCUGAGAGGGCGACCGGCCACAUUGGGACUGAGACACGGCCCAGACUCCUACGGGAGGCAGCAGUGGGGAAUAUUGCACAAUGGGCGAAAGCCUGAUGCAGCGACGCCGCGUGAGGGAUGACGGCCUUCGGGUUGUAAACCGCUUUCGGCAGGGAAGAAGCGAAAGUGACGGUACCUGGAGAAGAAGCACCGGCUAACUACGUG